UACGAAGGGGGCUAGCGUUGUUCGGAAUUACUGGGCGUAAAGCGCAGCGUAGGCGGAUAUUUAAGUCAGGGGUGAAAUCCCAGAGCUCAACUCUGGAACUGCCUUUGAUACUGGGUAUCUUGAGUAUGGAAGAGGUAAGUGGAAUUGCGAGUGUAGAGGUGAAAUUCGUAGAUAUUCGCAGGAACACCAGUGGCGAAGGCGGCUUACUGGUCCAUUACUGACGCUGAGGUGCGAAAGCGUGGGAGCAACAGGG
rnacentral:rRNA from 1 species